ensembl:lncRNA
GUGGAUAUGGCCCGAAAUUUGGUGAAAAUGGAUGGAUAUAGACCAACAUUUGGGGGAAAUGGGUGUAUAUGGACCAAAAUUUGGGCUGAAAUAGGUGAAAAUUGGGGAAAAUGGGUAAAUGUGGCCCGAAAUUUGGGGAAAAUGGGUGGAUAUGGCCCAAAAUUUGGGGGAAAUUGGGCGAUAUGAGCCGAAAUUGGGUAAAUGUGAGCCGAAGGAGCUGUGGGUGUUGGGGCGCUGAGGACGGGCGGUGGGUGGGAUGGGAGGGGAGGGGAGGGGACAAAACCCACCCGAAACGGGGAAAAGAACCCAAAGCCACCCAAAAAACAGAAGAAGAAGAGAAAGGAGAAGAAGAAAAUGGGUGAAAUACGGGGAAAAAGGAGAGUUAGGAAUCAAAAUUUGGGGGAAAUGGGUGGAUAUGGCCCGAAUUUUGGGGGAAAUGGAUGGAUAUGGACCAAAAUUUGGGGGAAAUGGGUGGAUAUGGCCCGAAAUUUGGGGAAAAUGGGUGAAAUUUGGGCAAAAACGGGAGUUAUGAACCUAAAUUUGGGGAAAAUGGGUGGAUAUGGACCAAAAUUUGGGGGAAAUGUGUGAAAAUUUGGGAAAAACAGGAGUUAUGAACCGAAACUUGGGUAAAAUGGGUGGAUACGGCCCGAAAUUUGGGGAAAAUGGGUGAAUGUGGACCGAAAUUUGGGGAAAAGUGGGCGAUAUGAGCCGAAAUUGGGUAAAUGGAGAGGGGCAAACGUGAGCCGAAGGAGCUGCGGGUGUUGGGGCGCUGAGGACGGGCGGCGGGUGGGACGGGAGGGGAGGGGAGGGGACAAAACCCACCCGAAACGGGGAAAAGAACCCAAAGCCACCCAAAAAACAGAAGAAGA